rnacentral:rRNA from 1 species
AUUGAACGCUGGAGGCGUGCUUAACACAUGCAAGUCGUGCGAGAAAGGGACUUCGGUCCUGAGUAGAGCGGCGCACGGGUGAGUAACGCGUGGGUAAUCUCCCUUGGUGAUCGGGAUAACAGCGGGAAACUGCUGCUAAUACCGGAUAAUCUUCAUGUUUAACUUCAUGGGGUAAAGGUGGCCUCUGCUUGCAAGCUACCACAUCAAGAUGAGCCCGCGUCUCAUUAGCUAGUUGGUAGGGUAAUGGCCUACCAAGGCUACGAUGAGUAGCUGGUCUGAGAGGAUGACCAGCCACACUGGGACUGGAACACGGCCCAGACUCCUACGGGAGGCAGCAGUGGGGAAUAUUGCGCAAUGGGCGAAAGCCUGACGCAGCGACGCCUCGUGAGGGAUGAAGGUCUUCGGAUCGUAAACCUCUGUCAAGAGGGAAGAAACCCUUGAGUUCGAACAGGGCUCUUGGCUGACGGUACCUCUAAAGGAAGCACCGGCUAACUCCGUGCCAGCCGCCGCGGUAAAAC